rnacentral:lncRNA from 10 species
UUUCUGUUUUGGUACCAGUACCAUGCUGUUUUGGUUACUGUAGCCUUGUAGUACAGUUUGAAGUCAGGUAGUGUGCUCCUCUUAACCUCAGCAUACCUGACAGAAGAAAGCUUAGGCCCCUGUCGAGGUGGCAGUUCUCUGAGGUAAAUGCUCUCUGUGCAAAGACCUCCAUUUCUAUUUAAAAAGAUGUUUGUAUGUUGUCCAAAAAUAGACACAGUUGUGCCAAAUGUGUUCCACAAACUAGUGAACCACUUCUAUUCCAAAGCAUCUCUGGACUUUCACAGCUUGCAAAAGGAUAUUGAUAAGCUUUUUCAAAACCAGGAUCUUGAUGAUCAUGAUGAUUGUUUCAGUGAUACCUAGGAAACAUUCCCGCCUUUUACAAGGAUGCCUCUCUCUUAAAUAGGUGCUCUUGCCACCUUAUCUCCCCAGGAAAAUUCACAGGGCAGGUUAAGAAACCUUCAACUAGCUAUUUCCUCAAUUGUAAACAUUUCUACUCACAGGUCUCAGAGCACUUCAAACUCAGUGUGUCCAAAACAGAGCUACCAUCUGCUCCAGAUCUGCUUUAUUUCUGGUAUUCUUAGCUCCUUGAAUGGCACCAUCAUAUAAUAAAUUGGACAAGCCAGAACCUGGAAGUCAAUUUGUCCUUUCCCUCUCUGUCAUGUUCCAUAUCUAACUUAACAUCAAGCUCUGUCCAUUUUACUUCCUGACUUCCUCUGUAACCCAUUUCUUCCCGUGUUUACCAUCACCUGGUCUCAGCUACCCCUGUCUCCCUCCUGACUGGCCUCCCACUUCCACUCUUGCCCCUCCACUCAAUUCUUCUCUGUUCUGCAGCCCAAGUGACCCUCUCAAAAUGUAAAUCUGAUCAUGUCACUCUCCUCCUUAGUGCUCCCUAGUGACUCUCCAGAGCUUUUGGAAUGAAAAGCAAAAUUCCUGUCAUGGUCCACAAAGCCCUGCCUAGUCUGGCUCUGCCAACCUAUUUCCCCACAAUCCAGCCACGUUGGCUCUCUCCUCCUGUGUUUCCUGCCACCACGUGGCCUUUGCACUUGCGGUUUCCUCUUACUGGAAUUUCCUCCCGCCCUCCCUGCUUGCUUCAGUCUGGUUAACUCCUACGUAUUUAUCCUCUAUAUCUCUGCUUGCCCGACUCCUUUUUGGAGGAGCUUUUCCUGAUCCUCUAGGUCAAGGGGAGCUCCCAACAUCUCCCCAUUAGUGCCAUGCUCCUUUCCUUCCUUGCAUUUGUCAGUUUUAAUUUCCACUCCUAUGAGUGAUCACUGGGUUAAUGCUUUCUCCCGCCACCCACCCGUCUACAAUCUCCAUGAGGUUAGAAUCUGUUUCUCAUUUGUUCAUCCUUGUGUCCCCAGUGCCCAGCCUAUUUCCUGAACAUAGUAGAGGUUCAAAACAUAUUUGGAAAAUACAUGAAUACUCACAUUUUGCUUUUCAGACUUUUCCUCCUAGAAUAUCAUUCACCUGAUUCGGGUGUGGGGUGUGGUCUCUGUCAAAGAUGCACUAAUGAUUGUUCCUUGCCCGUACAAUUCUCACAGUGACCUCCACGCUUACUUAGCCUUGAUUUCCUUGACCUGUUUUGAUGGUUCUUUCUCAGGAGAGCCUGCAGGAACUUCUGAGGAUGGGGCUUUGGGGAUGUGAGGACAAUGAAAAACAGCUUGUCAGGGAGAUUCUGAUGCACUGCCAGCCUUGCUGAGACAGGGCAGGAGGAACCGCCUCUAAAUCUCAGGAUAGUUCACCUGGAAUGUGGGAAGACAUUCUCAGAAAGGGUUCUUCCCGGGGCCCUCCUCUUCAUCCUUUCUUGCCUCCCUCCCUUCCUCCCCAUACCCCUCAGGCUUUUAUAGAUGCAUAUUUACAGAGGACAGGGCUACCUUUUUUUGCAUAUUGAUUCUUUUGAAAGGGCAGACCUUUAGAACUAAAGAAAUGACCACACCGCUGUUAGCUUUCUGCAAAACAGCAUAGCACUUUCCCGGUGUGUGUUUAUUACCUACCCCAUGAGCUAAACAUGAGGCAAAGUAGUAAUUGGCUGGGUCUCUGGUGAGUCCAUUUCCCUGCGUUGCCCCGAGGUGUAUGCAGGCUUUACACAGCUACCUUGGCAACUGACUUCCCCAAUGUUUGCUGUGUGUCCAAGGACAAGCAGGGAUCUAUGACACUGGGUGUUUCUAGCAAAUUUCCCUCUCAAAUUGGCACAUUCUCUGUGAGCUUUGGAGACUUCACAGUGUGGCUCACAGUUUGGGAACAAUUUGCAUCAUCAUCUGACUGGUAAGUUCUAGUUCUGUGGUAACUCAAGUGUUUCAAAUAGCUUAAUACGCAAUAGGGCACGGAGGUUCGUUCUGCUUCUGUUGGAAUCAAACACACAUUUCCACAAUGUUCCCGUUAUACAGGAUCAUCCCGAAACACAUCCCCCAGAACACUAUGUUGUCACUACUCUACCUUUUGAUAUACACUUUAUUAUUAUUCCUAUGUGCAGAUAGGUUACUUAAGUUUUUCUGUUCUAGAUUAGUUUGUCUAUUCAAAUACAUGUUUCUCACACACUUCUACAGUGUUUUUCUUUUUGUUGUUAUUCUUAAAGUGUUCUAUGAAAACUUCCAUGUUGUAUCAAGGCUGGGUGGUAGCUUUGUAACUAGUUUCCCACCUUAGAAUGACUGUCUGCUUUGUCCAGGACUGCAAGGGGGACUUAGAAUAUGGGAUUUUUCAGUGCUAAAACUAGAAAAGUCUGAGACAAAUCAGGACAAAGUGGUCACCCUGCUACCAUUUCUAGCCUUGAUAAAGGAGCAGGUAGACCCAACCAAGGAUAAUUUUUGUUUUCUAUGUAGAUACCAGUUUAGUGGUUGGUAGGAAUUCCCCCAAAUCAACACCUUGCUAAGCUCAUCUCUCUCUCUCUCUCUCUUUUAAUAUGACAGCUUAUUGAGAUAAAACUCACAUACCAUACAAUUAAUGCACCCAUUUAAAUUGCGAAAUUCAGUAGUUUUUAGUAUACUUUCAGAGUUGUGCAACCUUCAUCACAAUCAAUUUUACAAC